CGAACGGUAGCACAGAGAGCUUGCUCUCGGGGGACGAGUGGCGGACGGGGGAGUAAUGUCUGGGAAACUGCCUGAUGGAGGGGGAUAACUACUGGAAACGGUAGCUAGUACCGCAUAACGUCGCAAGACCAAAGAGGGGGACCUUCGGGCCUCUUGCCAUCAGAUGUGCCCAGAUGGGAUUAGCUAGUAGGGGGGGUAACGGCUCACCUAGGCGACGAUCCCUAGCUGGUCUGAGAGGAUGACCAGCCACACUGGAACUGAGACACGGUCCAGACUCCUACGGGAGGCAGCAGUGGGGAAUAUUGCACAAUGGGCGCAAGCCUGAUGCAGCCAUGCCGCGUGUAUGAAGAAGGCCUUCGGGUUUUAAAGUACUUUCAGCGGGGAGGAAGGGGUUUUGGUUAAUAACCGCAGCAAUUGACGUUACCCGCAGAAGAAGCACCGGCUAACUCCGUGCCAGCAGCCGCGGUAAUACGGAGGGGGCAAGCGUUAAUCGGAAUUACUGGGCGUAAAGCGCACGCAGGCGGUCUGUCAAGUCGGAUGUGAAAUCCCCGGGCUCAACCUGGGAACUGCAUUCGAAACUGGCAGGCUAGAGUCUUUUAGAGGGGGGUAGAAUUCCAGGGGUAGCGGGGAAAUGCGUAGAGAUCUGGAGGAAUACCGGGGGCGAAGGCGGCCCCCUGGACAAAGACUG
rnacentral:rRNA from 1 species